GUGACUCGUGGGGCGACGGCCCGGGAUGAGGCUGGGAGCCGAUGGCAGGACGAGGAGCCAGGGCCGGUGCCCCGAGCUUUUCUAGGACAGUGCACUCCCCCCCGGGCCAUGUCUCCUGUAGUGGCCCAAGGCCACCGCGAUCACUUCUCUGUCCCCCUGGGGGGCAGCGGAGUGCUUAUGGCACAGGGAUGAUGGAUGACCAUGGUGAUCACCCUGUCCCUUUGUGUGCCACGUGCUUUGAGUCCUGGCAACGAAUUCAGCUGUGACCAUAGCCCCGGGACACCCGGUAUCACUGGGGACGGACCCGGUGGUGGGAGGAGGCGGCGGAUGGGACAAAGGUCCCACCAAGGUGGCCCGGCAGGGCUCUGGGGGCCUCAUCAACCCAGGCGGGCCGGUCCCCCAACCGGCGCUGCUGAGUCUCAGGAAAUGGAGGAGCCGGGUUGCUGGGGAACCAGCCCGACCGGCUCCCCGGCUGUCAGCACCUGAGGAAUGCCAAACCUCCGCUCGCCAGGGCUGGGUGCUCACCGAGGGCUGGGUGUUCGCCUGGUGACUCUGCCGGUCCGCCCAGCCGCGGCGUGCCGGUGCAGGGAGCAGCACCCCGAGCCCUGCGCAGUGCCUUCGGUGCGGUCGGUCAGUGCGGUGCCCACCCGGCGCGGCGGGACCCUCGGGCGGCAGGUACGUGGGGUGUGGGUUGGGGCUGUGGAUGCUGUGGGGGCCAGGAGCUGUAGGGCACCUGCUGCCACUCGGAGCCGUGCUCAGAUCCAAGUGCCGGUGCUGCCGUUUGGUCCCCCUGAGCUGAUGUCGGCACGGGUUGGGUCGCAGAGCCCGUUUCUGCCACUCGGCUUCAACUCCUUCAGGCUUUUAACCCUAUUCCCAACCCAAAGCACAUCCUCACGCCCAUUGAGGACAAAGAAGUGCUCACCCACCCCCAGUUGCCUUGUGGCUAGCAGAUAGCAGGGUCCCUGCCCACCCACAUUCCCUCCUCUCUGCAGGGCGUGUGCCUGUGGAAGCACCGGGUAACAAAAAGGGAAAUGGAAAUUGCCCUGCCCUAAUUAUUAGUCCUGAUCUGUGCAGCAGCCACUCAAACCAAAUUCUUGAUUUUCCUGGAGGCAGCGGGUCCGCUCUCACCUGCAGACAUUGGGAACAUCCCAGUGUGUCUGCAGGGCCAGAUUUCCCCAUGGCCACCAGCUCAAAGCUGGCCACAGGUUGCUGCCACCCAGCCCUUGGUCUCUUCGUUACAUUGCAGGCAUCUUAAUUGGGUUCCAGGAGCCCUGAUCAGGCUACUGAGAGACCCUUCUGAAUAGCAGGAGCCAACAAUUAGCUGAGCAGGUUUGCUUGGGUGGGACAGGUGAUUAAUUGCUGUGCCAGGUGCCCAUUGCAACAAUACAGCUGGGUUUCAUUGCAGCGUGUCCCAGCAUGUAGGAACGGCCACAUCCUCACCUGCCUCUAUCUGGGGUGCUGGUGCCAGGCAGGGCUGCAGAGCAUGGAGGUGGUGUGCCCUCUGUACCCCCAGCACACGCUGGGUGCCAGAACCAGCUGUGGCCCUAUGGAUUCAGCAGUGGCUCUGUGGAUCCAGAUGUAGCUUUGCUGAUGCAGAUGCAUGCCCCUGCCUGAGCUCUUCCUACAUCCAGUCCUGCUUGCUAUCCCAGACAUGGUCUCAUAGCGUACUGCAAAAUGACACCAACCCUUCCUAUAUAGACCAGAAAGACCUGCCGGGCUGGGGUGUGUGGCAGGCGGGCAGGAUCCAAUGUUCCUAUGCCAUCACUGAAAUAUUCUUGUGGAGGGCAGAGCAGAUGUGAUGGGGUUUGGAGGGGUCUAGCCCCGGGUGAACCCCAAAAUGGGAAGCGUCCAGUGCUGACUCAGGGAUGGGGGAAGUGGCCCCAUGGGAGAAAUCCAUUUCUCAUCAUGAGGAAUCAGCCCAUGGAGGGCCUUCCCCAUCCCCAGCCAAGAAAGUGCUAAAUUUUACCACUCUUUGGGCCAUACCCAAGUGCUAACCCCUCCUGCUGUCCCUGCAGCCCAUAUACAGCUGGUGUUUGGGUUGGGGACACCGAACAGCCCCUAAUUGAGAGAUGCUGAGAUGCUGAGAUGCUGCCACGCUUCCGGCUCAUUCACCCACAGCUGCUUUGUCAGCUGCUUUCCAUAUCCCAAACACAGCAAUAAAACCAUUCUGGGGCAGUCAGACAGCCCUGCAUGGCGUCACUCUGCCAGUCGCGGCCUCAGGGUGCCCAUGUCCUCCCCGGCAGCAUCCAGCACUGCCCAGCAUGGGGACACGGCACAGGGUGCUUGGUGCCUGCUCUGAUCAGGGUGCAAGCAGCGGGUAAUUAACGCAGCUCAUUUUCUUGUGCCAAUGGGGCCUCAUAUGUGGAUGGAGCAAUCCCAUCUUUGCUGAGCAAUAAUUGCCAUGAUCAAGGGAAGAUGCUGCUGGCCCCAACCUCCUGCAAAACCCCUGGGUGUUAUGGCACAGCCCCACUGAGGCCCUUUCACCUCAUGGAGCUGCUUCCCUGUUAUUUUUUGGGCUUGUUUGUUUGCUGUCUUUGCUGACUCGGUGCAGUCCUGCGCCCUCCUGACUCAUCCUGCAGCUCGGGGCAGAGCACAGCACAGCCAGAUCCUGCCCAGGUGGUGUGGCAGAGCGCUGGGACGUGCAGACAUUGCAUGGCAUUGCAUUUUGUUGCAUUGCAGUUUGUUGCACUGCGUUUCAUUUCAAUGCAUUGCAUUGCAUGUCAUUGCAUUUCUUACAUUUCAUGCAGUUGUAUUGCAUUUUGUUGCAUUUCGUUGCAUUGUGCUGCAUGUUGUGUCAUGUCAUUGCAUUGCAUUUCAUGUUGUGUUGUUGCAUAGCAUUGAAUUUUAUUUCAUUGUAAUGAAGGGAUGGUGGUACCCCGGGUCAUGCAUGGGUGAGCAUCCCAAGAGGGGCUCUAAGGAGACACAAAGGAGCACACACAUCUGUGUGCUUGAGACCCC
rnacentral:lncRNA from 1 species